AACGAACGCUGGCGGCAUGCCUAACACAUGCAAGUCGAACGAGACCUUCGGGUCUAGUGGCGCACGGUUGCGUAACGCGUGGGAACCUGCCCUUAGGUUCGGAAUAACUCCCCGAAAGGGGUGCUAAUACCGGAUAAUGUCUUCGGACCAAAGAUUUAUCGACUUUGGAUGGGCCCGCGUUGGAUUAGCUAGUUGGUAGGGUAAAAGCCUACCAAGGCGACGAUCCAUAGCUGGUCUGAGAGGAUGAUCAGCCACACUGGGACUGAGACACGGCCCAGAAUCCUACGCGAGGCAGCAGUGGGGAAUAUUGGACAAUGGGCGAAAGCCUGAUCCAGCAAUGCCGCGUGAGUGAUGAAGGCCUUAGGGUUGUAAAGCUCUUUUACCCGGGAUGAUAAUGACAGUACCGGGAGAAUAAGCUCCGGCUAACUACGUG
rnacentral:rRNA from 1 species